UCCGGUUUGGCACCGGCAGUCCCUCCAGAGUCCCCGGCAUUACCCGCUGGUAACUGAAGAAAAGGGUUGCGCUCGUUGCGGGACUUAACCCAACAUCUCACGACACGAGCUGACGACAGCCAUGCAGCAUCUGUGCAUGAGCUCCGAAGAGCAGCUCUGAUCUCUCAGAGCCUUCCCAUGCAUGUCAAGCCCAGGUAAGGUUCUUCGCGUUGCGUCGAAUUAAACCACAUGCUCCACCGCUUGUGCGGGCCCCCGUCAAUUCCUUUGAGUUUCAGCCUUGCGGCCGUACUCCCCAGGCGGGGCACUUACUGCGUUAGCGACGGCACUCAGAGGGUCGCUCCCCCAAGCACCUAGUGCCCAUCGUUUACGGCGUGGACUAC
rnacentral:misc_RNA from 1 species